UUCGGUUAAAUGUCUUUUUUAUACAUCUUCCGUUUCUGUGGUCCGCUAUACAAAACAAAAAAUACAAUAAAAUACAACAAAUGUUUUAAUACAACAGCAAUACAUCAGCACUAGAAGCAGUAUAAAUAUUUGCCUUUAAAAGAAGGCUACCCAGCUAUAUGAAUACAUACACACAUCUCAAUUUGAAUGGUGCAAUUGCAAGAAAUAUGCCUGUGACCUCUAGCUGCUAAAAUAUGCAAUGACUACAAUGUGCAUUUGUUUAGAUUCAGGCACGAUAGCAGGCUGCCUCAAAGUGCUGAAUAAAAGCAUACAAAAUGCAUAAUUUUUACACGAAAAUUCUAUGCCCAGUGAACAUUUGAAAAUGUAUGAAAAUGGCAAACGAGAAAUGGUGCUGUAAUGCUUUCGUUAAUUCUUUUAAAAAAUGUAUGCGUUUUUUAGGCAGGGUUGCCACUUUUUAAAAUUUUCCUAUGAAAUGUUCGGUUGCACCUGAACUUAGCCCUUUCUUAUUUGUUUUUUUUUUUUAUUUUAAUAAGCUUUACAAAUAAUUGAUGUCUGUAAAAGGCUUGAAUCGUAAAUUGGCAUAAAACAGACUUUUAAGAGCUUUCGAAAGCGCUAUGAAAGACUACACAUGAAUUUACAUGUAAUUUUGUAUCAUUAAGUGUAUGUAAAUCACUUUCAACUCUGAAUGAAUGCAAGCCGUGCUAAUAUUUGCUGUCACUUGGUUUGUACGUAUAAAUGUUUUCUUGUGUUCGGCCACAAUGACAGACCAAAAACCUUAUAAAAGCUCUUUUGUUACUUGAAGGUACGAAUAAAAUGAGAGAAUGGUUUCGAAAACUAAUAAAAAUUCAUGUUAGAAAAUGAAAAGCAUAUAAAAUUGUAGAUUGCUACCGAAGAAAUGGCCUGUAACUAAGAGUAGUAUUGAACACACGCAGCACACUCGCACCAACAGAGACACUAACAUAUAUAUGGUAACAGCACAUAAGCACAUACAUAUGCGUAUAAUACAGUAGUAAACUCACACACCUACAUAUGACGUCGUCCUACACUAAACUACUCAUAUUUCUGUUUGCCUUUGCACCCAAGGUAAACUCUUUAGUAUGCGGCCGGCGGAGAGCUCUUACACAGCACUUAACCAAUAUGCAUACAAAGAGACAAAGCCCGACAAAUACAAGCAAAUGCAUAUGUAGAUAUGUAAAUGCAGUAACAAAUGCCACAAAACUGCGGAAAAACAAGAAAACAUCUCAAUGGAAGCUUUAAUAUCCUUCACAGAAUCUACCACAUAAAUCGGAGAAGUUCAAUAAACUCGAAUCUAAAAUAGCAUGGUUCCAUAUAAGUAAUCUGAAGCGUAGCUCGGAACUCAUACUCGAAGCAAUUGGUGAGCAUGCGGCAUCUCUGCCUUUCAAGACGCUGGUGGCUUGGACCGAUCCAGCGUUGUCGGUAUUUGUAAGUAUAUCCGCCAAUAGUACAGCCCGCAGAUAACAUAGAGGAAGUUGGCUCGAGGAUUAUAUAGUACUCUACUCAGCUUUUGAUAAUCCGGCGCCAACAAUUUCACUGUACAUCGCUGGACAUUUGGUGCGUCAGGAUAUGUCGAGACAUAUGUCAGUUACCACGCAAAAACCCUACCGCUGCCGGCAUAACCGUCGCGAUGAGAAUGAGCUGCAUUGCACUGUCGAUGCGAAACUACCGCCAAAUACAAUUUUCUGGCAUGACUAUGAUAAAAGUAAAUUACGUUUUCGGAAAGCUAACGCCCCCAAAAAACUUAAAAUAUCUCAAAAUCGUUAAAAAAUUUCGAAAAUUAAAAAACUUUUGUUGAAAAGCAAGGGUCACCUGCCAAAGAAUUUUGAAAAAGUGGGCGUGUUCUCGCCCUCUAAUAAGUUUAAUGUACAUGCCACCUAAUCCACUAAAGCUGCAACAACCAAAUUUGUCUAGCACAAAUAAUAUAAGAACUCCUACCGAUAGUAUGAAAAUUGAUGAAAUCGGAUGAUAUCCCUGCUCACUACCCAUAUAAGAGUACUAGAGGACCCGCUUACGUUUUACUGUGGCUGAUACAUAGAUAGUACUACUAAUACCAUCUAUAUGAUUUCUAUUAGUUAGAUUAUAAGUAUUAGUUAAGGAAUAAUCGCAUUUUUGAUGAAGCAACUUGUGUUAGUUUACAAAAAAAAAUGUUAUAGCUACCCAUAGAUGUAUUGAAUCACCCAAUUUAUUACUUAAGAACGAACAACUCUGUCCACAAUAUAAAAACUUGAUCCACAGAUGUCGCCUUUUACUUUGGCAUCGUUUUCUUUAAUGCACGUUUACGCCAAUUUAAGGUUUGAAUAUUGGAUACUGCGAUGGUAGCGCCAUCUAUCGGUCAAACAUUCCAAAAUUAACAAU